CUACCCUUGACAUCCUCGGGAUCUGCUAGAGAUAGUGGAGUGCCUUCGGGAACCGAGAGACAGGUGCUGCAUGGCUGUCGUCAGCUCGUGUCGUGAGAUGUUGGGUUAAGUCCCGUAACGAGCGCAACCCUUGUCCUUAGUUGCUAGCAGGUAAAGCUGAGAACUCUAAGGAGACUGCCGGUGACAAGCCGGAGGAAGGUGGGGAUGACGUCAAGUCCUCAUGGCCCUUACGGGUAGGGCUACACACGUGCUACAAUGGACGGUACAAAGGGAAGCGAAGCCGCGAGGUGAAGCGAAUCUUAAUAAAGCCGUUCGUAGUCCGGAUUGGAGUCUGCAACUCGACUCCAUGAAGUUGGAAUCGCUAGUAAUCGCGGAUCAGAACGCCGCGGUGAAUACGUUCCC
rnacentral:rRNA from 1 species